GGAGGAAGGCUGCAAUGUACAGAAGACGAGUACUGUUGUUCCCUUUUUCUAUGUCAAACCUCCAGAGGUCAGUGUGGCCUCGGUCCCACGUGACGGCUGUGCAGGUGCAGCAGCGUGGAUGGAGCCAUCAGCAGAUUCCGGGAGGAAGCAGUAGCGAGCAGGGGGCCGGGCAGAGACACAGGAAGAGAAAAGACGGCAAGAGCUGCAGGGACAAGAUUAAUGUCUUCAGAAGGAAGCAGUGUGCUGAGAGAGACGGACUAACUAAGACGGUGGUGUUGUUCUAAUCAUUGGACAAUGUGAUGGAGAAAUAUUACGAGAAUGUCUUUUAGUCACAGCAGAUUAGUCAGAGCAUGCUGGGAAUAUGUCUCUCCCCUCUGAAGGAGUAAAGCAGUGGCUGACCACAGGAAUGCUGGAUUUGAUCUUGGUUAUAUUUGUUCUGCACACCAGAGUAUGUAUAUGAAAUAACCUAUCGUCAUAUAUCACAUAUUGUGCUGCUACGUCAGCUCUUUGAUGCCACCAGGCUUUUUUCAGGAUACUCCAUCUGUAGGCCAUCUGUUUUCAUAUUCUGCAUGAAAUAUAAAUGAAAUAUAAAGAACAGUGGACAGUAUUAUGUAUCUUUCCAUAUCACUUUUAGCCUUUUAGAAUUUUAGCGGAUGUAUGAUCACACAGGAUUCCUUUUUAACUUUUUAUUUGUCCAUGAUAUUAGAGAUGAACAGAUUUCUGUGCUGCUCUCUGUUCUCUCUCGUAUAAGGCAUCCACCAAUAACCUGGAACCAGGGCAUGUUUUCAUUAAAAAUAAUGCAGAAUCAA